GUCACUGCUCAAUACAUUGUAGUAGCCGCUAAAUAUCAUUUUCUCUCAUUUCCUUGGUUUCUAAUCCCUAAGUGAAUAACGGAUGCUACUUAGACGCUACACAUCACGGAGGCAUAAUCAAAUGGAGAGGAUAUAGUCACCAGCCACUUGAUCAAAAGGAAGAACAGAAAAAGGAACCCUACCUGCAAAGGAGGCAAAGGAAUUUCUCUUGGCUCAACAUAAGCAGAAACACUAUGUGCUCUCACCUGAUUCUGCUGUUGUCCAUAAGGAACAUAAUGGACUUAGAAAGCAGCAAGUGUCCAAAAUUUUUGCUAUGGACAAAAUGUUAAUGAAUGUAAACCUCCCAGUGUGAAAACUAAGCAGGCUCAUCACGUGACGGCAGAGAUACAAGAGAGCAGAUUCCACCGCACAAACAAUCCUCUAAUCCCUGACUGCAUCGUGUCUGUGAACAUCCCAUUAGCCAAAGGAUAUCACAUGGCUGGGCCCACAGUCAAAGGGUGGUUAAAAUGCAAGCAUUUUAACAAAGGUACUGUUCUCCGAGUUUCCAGCAGGGUCAAGGGAACAAACCAGGUAUGGUAAGACAUCCAGAGUCCAGCAAAGGUGAGAAGCGGUCACCGCCCCCAGGGCCUGUUGAGACAAGAGCAGGAAAUACUGUUAGCAGAGGGAGGAAGACUGGUUGGUGGAGUUCUGUUUACAGAAGGAGGACUCAGCAGGACAGAGCACGAAUCUGGGAGGGGAGGGAAACAGAGUAACCUGCAUCUUUACCUAAACGAGCUCCAGGAGAGCAGCACUGUUUCUUCUUUAUGUCCUCAGAAAAAUGGAAUUAAAUAUAAAAUAUAGAGGGUUCGUGGUUUUGAGUGGUUACUUUAAAUAUAUAGAGAAGUCCAGAAAUUAAUAAAACAGACACCCACAUUCCACAACCCACAUGUCCCACGUUAGCUUUUUAUCGCGACUGCUUUGGACUUGUUCUUUUAAGGAAAAAUGAAUUGCAGAUCAAGUUAGGGACACUCUCUCACCUUCCCCCAUCCCUCCACUCUCAUCUUCUCCUGAGAUCGUCACUAAAUUGGCAUGUAUUACUCCAUUCACUGUGCUGCUACGUGUGUUUAUAUCCACAAACAAUAAAUAACAUUGUUUUGUGUCACUUUGUAUUUUACAAAGUGGUUCCAAAUUGUGUGUAUCCUAACACAUUGUGCAUCGAGUACAAUGUUUCUGAGGCUGCUGUCGGUACCCAGGUAGAUCUGGUUCGUUUGUUUUGACUUCUAUGUGCUUUUCCAUCCCAUGAAUAUUUACAUUGCCUGUAAUUACCAAUAUAUUUGAAUUCAU